rnacentral:rRNA from 1 species
UACGUAGGGUGCAAGCGUUGUCCGGAAUUAUUGGGCGGAAAGAGCGUGUAGGCGGCCCGAUUAGUCCGCUGUGAAAGUCCAGGGCUCAACCCUGGAAUGCCGGUGGAUACUGUCAGGCUAGAGUGCAGAAGGGGCAAUCGGAAUUCUUGGUGUAGCGGUGAAAUGCGUAGAUAUCAAGAGGAACACCUGAGGUGAAGACGGGUUGCUGGGCUGACACUGACGCUGAGGCGCGAAAGCCAGGGGAGCAAACGGG